rnacentral:lncRNA from 1 species
ACAUGGCUUUGACAGUUCUUGAAAGAUAUUGCUGGGAGCUUGUUGUUUUGCUUCAUACGAUUAAGUGGAGUAUUGGAAGGCUAGAUUGCGUUCUUUCUUGAUUUUUGCAUUUAAUGGAGUUUUGAUCUGGUUGAUGUUGCCUUUGGGUAUUUUUGUAAUUUAUAUUUUGGAUCUAGGAAGGCAUUUCAAGUUUAAACAUGAUAUUAGCACUUUGAGUCUGAGUGACCGUGGACAUUUUUUGGAAAAAGAUGAGUUGUCAUGCACAUGUGUGCGCCUUUGAGCCGGUGAUCAUGCCGUGCAAGUAGCCAGGAAAAAUUUUGCUUUUACCAUCUUGACAGUUUGCAAAUGUAAGGCUAAAGUCAGCUGAGAUUUUGACAAGGUUUUUAUCAAUUGUCCUUGGAUGGAAGUCAAUUCUAAAAAAAAAUUAUCAAUUAUUGUUU